rnacentral:lncRNA from 1 species
GCCGUCGACCCCACGCCACGCAGAGGUGAAGAUACGCAGGACGUCCUCUAAAGCAACUUCCGUGGGUGCCAGGUUGUGGGCUGGGGGCGGUGCUGACCUUGAGAGAGCGGAGGAGGCGCAGGCGCAGCACAGGUACGUGGGCGGGCGGAUCGUGGUGGCUGCGCUUGCGAGGACCCUGAGGUAGAUUGGGUGGUUUCAACAGGAACGCAUCCACUGUCUGAGAGGCGGGAGGGGGCCAGGGGUGGGAGUGAGGGUGCGCGAUGGGAGUCGACUCCAGACCCAGGUGGCAAUUGAAGCCGGAAGAACAUCUACCAAGAGCAGAGAACCCAGGAAGAAAAUUCUGCCUCUUUAAUACGUUCCAAUAUGGACGUUUUCCAUAUAGAUACCUAUCUAUAUAGAUAGAUGCUCUGGGAUCUGACGGUCCUGGACACCUGUAUGGCUGUGUGCUGUGGUCUUUGCCUAGCCUGCGGUUCACUUUUGCUCUGGCCACCACCUCCCCUCAUGUACAAACCGCGUCUCUGCUCUGCCAGUCUUGGCCCCCGUCAGGCAGCGGUUCACUCCCUCACCAGGGAAGUCUAGAUAGAUAGAUAUAGAUAGAUAUCGAUCGAUAGAUAUAGAUAUAUAUAUAGAUAGAUAGAUAGGUAGAUAUAUGGAUAGAUAUAGAUAUUUGGAUAGAUAUGUAGACGUCUAUCUAUAAAUAUAUCGAUAUAUCGGGGUUCUCAGCCAUCCCAAAGAAGCUUGCACAGGGCCAGUUGCUUUAUGUCAGGAAAAGGGACACAGACUGAGUGUAUGAGGGUUUUUUUUUUCUAUAGAUGUAUAGAUAUUUAUAUCAGAUGCAAAUAAGUGAAACUCUCAUACAACUUUUAAUUUUGUGUUUUUUCCAAACUCUAUUCCAUUCAACUUUUUCUGCCUUUUUAUUUGAUUAUAAUGAGACAUCGUACUGGAGGCAGGCUUGAAAUGGAUAUACAGAGCACUUUCAACCCAGAAAUUUGUCUCACGACUUGGGGUCCUUACUUAAGUUGUAGCUGUUAGUAAUUUCAUCCAUGAAUUCACUUUGUGCCAUAGUGUGAUGUUUUGUUAUGAAGUUGGAAUUGGGAAGGGAAACUAGGAAGUUUUGGGAGAAGUUAAGAAGGUUGAGUAGGCAGGCGUUGUUAUAGAUAUUAAAUUUCACCCUGCUUAUCAAAGUACCUGGAGCGUAUGGUAUCCAAGCUGUAAAUGGCCCAAAGGAAUCGGGGUUCUCAGCCAUCUUUUGUUUUUUUUUUUUAGUUUAAACUUGAUUUUGUGAGGGGACGAACAGCGUGACAAUUAAAAGAAGAUCUGGGAAUCGUAAGUACUGACAGAAUACCUGGAGGGAAGGUGGGACUGGAGAAUAGUUUGUGAAACAGAUCCUGCUGAGGAUGAAUCCAGAACUUCCUGAAGGGUUCCGCUUCUGCUGUGUAGGGACAAGGUUGUAAAUAGACAAGCCACAGGCACCUGCAAAUGGUAAGUGUGGUAGAGAGGGGCUGGAAUUGCCUGUUGGUGUAUCUGUGGGAAGCAGCUGCUAUCCUUGAGGAAGAAAAGAUGGAGAAGGUAAGUGGCUAUCAACCUGUCAGAGACAACACAUUCUGUGAAGUUGUACUCUUUCAUUUCUGACACUGUGGUUCUUAAUAUCUGUCCUAAACCUGGCAGUCAUUGAGGUUCGCAAAGUAUCUCCUUCUAUGUGACAGUAAAACUGGAAUUACUAUCAGAAUGGAAUCCAUUCCUGCUAGAGUAAAACCAUGAAAAGAAAUCGCAGUUUUGAUUAUCUGCUUAUCAUUUUUAAUAGAUCACAGAGUGCAGUGUUCCUUAUUUGUUGUAUGGCAAGUUGAUGAAUAACUCUUGAUUAAUAUCUUUUAAAACUCUGUUCAACUUUUCAGCCAUCACCUCAGGAAUCAGAAGAUACUCCAGAGGAAAAGCUAAUGUAAAUGCUGGAUUCAACAACUCUGUUUUUUCCUUCUGAAUAUUUCAUUGUCUCUAAUGCUGUCAGAUGUUUGUUUUAUAUUUUGUCCAAGCUGAGUGUGGUGGCUCACGUCUGUAAUUUCAGCACCUUGGGAGGCCAAGGCGGGACCAUCCCUUGAGGCCAGGAAUUUGAGACUAGCCUAGGCAACAUAACAAGACCUUUGUCUCUUGGAAAAAAAUAAAUAAAUAAAUAUUAUUAGAAGUGAAAAUAAAGCUUCCUGAGGCCUUCACCAGAAGCAGAUGCUGGUGCCGUGCUUCUACAGCCUGCAGAACUGAAGGACUUUACAGCUUCUCUUUCGCAUAUCCAAAUUGCCAGCAUCACCGCUCUUGCACUCCAAGCCAUUAUUAAGUAAAGUAAAGAACACAAACACUGUGAUACUGCUACACUUGAUCUGAUAACCAAGAAGUCUACUAAGUGACUAACAGGUAAUAUUUUUGGACAUGAGGUGACUGCAGUUAACUAAAACCAUGGAAAGCAAACCCAUAGAUAAAGGGAUACUAUGGAGAGCAACUGGGAACCUAAUUCUGACCAAAAAGGAGGAAUUGUUUGGCUAAUUGGAAGUGACAGAAACCUUGGGAGAAAGCAACCGCAUACCAAGGAUAAUUAUAAGAAGGUAACAUGGGCCCUAAAGGAUAGUGUCAAGAAACCUGAAACCCCCAAAUGAGGUGAGACUUGCAAAAAAUGCUAAGGAAGGACAAAAAACAGGCCUUUUAAAAUUCUGUUCAGAACCAGAAGAUGAUCAAGAAAGGGAAAUGCCCACUAGCAGCUUCUACUGUAAGGUUAGAGCUGACAGAGAAAGAACUCCUUAACUACUAUUUGCUUCAUUCUCUAGAGAAGACAUGGAGAAGAGGAGGGAGUAGUUGUGACCGUGGAGGCAGAGAAUGGAGUAAUGUGAUCAUAAAUCAAGGAAUGCUGACAGCCACUAAAGCUGGAGAAGGCCAAGGACAGAUAUUCAAUCCUCCCGUAGAAGUACAGCCCUGCUAAUGCAUUGAUUUUGGACUUCUGGCCUCAGAACUGUAAGAGAAUAAAUUUCUAUUGUUUUAAGCCUUCAGUUUAUAUAUCAGCUUUUUAUCAGUUGAAAUAAACCACCCUGGGCCGGGUGCAGUGGCUCACACCUGUAAUCCCAGCACUUUGGGAGGCCGAGGUCUGGAAAGCAUGGAAAUUUGUAUCUUCAUUCACUUUUGUUUUCAUGGACUCUUUUCAUGUUUGAACUUUUCAUGGUAUGAGCUGUUUUAUAAUCUAUAAUAUGGAAUGUUUCUCAUACGAAUGUUUUUCUUAUUGAAGAAUGCCAUAGAAAUAAGGGUGUGAGGUAUACUUACUUGACAGGAGAAUUUGAAUUUGAAAUGAAGGCUUUGAAAGACAGCGUCUAACUCAGACAUGGACUAAUAAUCAUGUAAUCGAUAAAGGACCUCACAAAUGGGAUCCUAACAGGUUUAAAGACUUUCAUAAGAAGUUUCAAAAAUUACACUGUGAGAAUUUCAUUAAUUUGAAUACUAUCUCAUUCUGCUGUCUUUGCUCUGCAUUUGUGAAGGGAAGGCAUUUCAUGGAUGACUUUGGCAUUCAUCAUAAUGAGAACAACUUCCAUGGUGAAUACUAACCGGAAGAAUUGUGUGCUUUUUAAUGGUUUGGAACAUCACUCCUGGCAGCACCUUGGAGACUUAUUUUUUAACUAAUUUAUGCUCACGGGGUCUGGACUUCAAGAGCAUGUGUCCAUUCAAACCACUUACACACUUUAAUACAAUCUCUAUAAUAGAAGUUAUUCAUGUGGUUAUUUGAAGCCUGGUGGUAUAAUCCUCUCAUAUGAUAGUGUACUUUUGUGAGUUAGAAGUCAACAUUAAAAGGCUCACAGAGUUAAUUUAGGUUCUGUCUGAUUCAUCACUCAGCUAGUCUUUGCAAACUACAGGAUACUGUUGUUGGGGACAAGUGGGAAGAAAAGUGCCAGAACUCUACUCAGACACCACCGAGAGACACAGGGCUUUUUAGCGUUCACUGUAUUUUCACUUCCACCGGGUUGUUAGUUGACGAUGCAAUCAGCAUGCUGAUUAAGGUUGCUUGGUUUUUUACUAAACAUUAACUGAAUGAAAACGGGUAGUCCUUGUUCUGCUUGGGGGGCUUUAAGGAAGCAAAUGGACUUUCAGAACAGAGAUUGUCAAUAAAGGUCCAAUGUGAUAAUUUAUGUGAAAUCUUUCUGCAAACUAUACAGUAUGAUAAAAAUAUAAGGUAGUUUCACUGGAAACAACAGAAGACUAGAAGCUGAUGUGACGUGGCAAUAUCAACCAGGAGUGGGUGGACAUUUGGCAUCCAGGAUGUGGUUCCAAGCUUGAGCCAUGGGAUGGUUUUUAUCUAUCUUCAUCAGAAGGGAGUAUGCUAAAGAACACAUAUGAGAUUACUGUGUGUCUGACACACAGUAGGCCCUUAAUAUUAGUUUGCUGAAUGCACAAAGGGAGGGAACUUCACCAAACUGAAGAUCAUUUCUCAGGAGUAACUUUAAUAACAAGCUGAGGCACAAAAUCCCACUAAAGUUUACCAGCUACCUAUUUAGAAUGGCUGAAUUUUAACAGAUGUUGACUGACUCUCUUAGGAACUAUAUUUGCUUGAGGAAAUGACCAAAAACUUAAAAUCUGUUAUAACAUUGACCCCUUAGAGACAUAAUAAACAUGGAAAGAGUGAAGAGUGUGGAAUUGUUUAAAACCUGGUUUUGUCAAGGUAGAUAACUUUACGUUGUGUAUAUUUUUCUCUUCCUUAUUAAUGGUACAAGCAGAUAAUUAUGUUGAAUGUUAAAUGGCUCCAGGACAAUGAGAAUUAAAUUGGCCUUAAUAAUAAUGUGUUUGAUUUUAGGUGUUCAAGAACAUGACUGGAAAAAUACUUCAAUCCUCAGCCCACUUGGAUGAAGCCAAAGAAUCCACUGUCUAUCUUUUCUAUUCCAGCUGUACCUGUCAAAGAAUUCAUAAUCUGCGUGUCUUCUGCUCUGCAGUGUGUGAAGUACAAAGAACUCAAACGUUGGAACAUAAAAGAUCUGAAUUCACACACUGGCUAAGGUGUUCUGGAUUCACUUAGCAGUUAGUGCUAGUCAAGUCUUGUAUCCUUGGUUAUCCUUUCCAUAAUAUGGAGCUAGCAACACCUACUUUGCAGAGUUUUAGAAAGGAUGAUUGGUAAAUACCCAUCUCGAGUUCUGGAUAUGUGCUCUGAGAAGGUGCCCAUGUCACCGACCACACUGGAGGCCAAUGCAGAUACUGGGGGAAGGUUCCAUGGUAGCUAAGUGUGGACAAGCUAAUCACUGAAGUUCCCUGAUGCAGAGUUGAUAAUCUCUCUAGAGUUGGAUGAAAGACUGUGCUGCCUUGAAGCUCUGAGAGAUGCCAUGCCAAUUCAAGGCAGGGUCUUUAUUGUUGAAACUCUUGCGUAAUGACAUCUUUAUUCAGGUGAAAAUACAGGAUGAAUUUCAACUAUAUGAUAUUGUUUAUGUUCCUCAGACAUGUUAUUUGUCUUUACAAAGAUUGGUUUCAAUAAACUGUGUGACUGAUAUUAAAUAAACAUGGAAUUUUACACAUUCAUAAUAUUUGGUUUCUUG